rnacentral:rRNA from 1 species
UACGUAGGGGGCUAGCGUUGUCCGGAAUCAUUGGGCGUAAAGAGCGUGUAGGCGGUCCGGUAAGUCCGCUGUGAAAGUCGGGGGCUCAACCCUCGAAUGCCGGUGGAUACUGUCGGGCUAGAGUGCGGAAGAGGAGAAUGGAAUUCCUGGUGUAGCGGUGAAAUGCGCAGAUAUCAGGAAGAACACCCGUGGCGAAGGCGGUUCUCUGGGACGGUACUGACGCUGAGGAGCGAAAGCGUGGGGAGCAAACAGG